rnacentral:rRNA from 1 species
AACGUAGGAGACAAACGUUAUCCGGAGUUACUGGGCGUAAAGGGCGUGUAGGUGGUUUCGUAAGUCUGGCGUUGAAAUUUCUCGGCUUAACCGAGGCAGGUCGUCGGAUACUGCGGAACUUGAGGACGGUAGAGGCGUGUGGAAUUCCGGGGUGUAGUGGUGAAAUGCGUAGAUAUCUGGAGGAACACCGGUGGCGAAGGCGGCAUCCUGGACCGAGAUUGACGCUGAGGCGCGAAAAGCCCAGGGGGAGCAAAGCGGGG